GACGGCCACAUCAUAUUGACACUGGUUCUAGUACGAUCACCGCAGUUAAGCUACGUCGAGUCUGGUCAGUAUUUCGAUGUGUUACCACUUGGGAUUUCCAGGUGCUGUAAA